rnacentral:misc_RNA from 1 species
GAUGAAGAACGUAGCGAAAUGCGAUACGUAAUGUGAAUUGCAGAAUUCAGUGAAUCAUCGAAUCUUUGAACGCAUAUUGCGCUCUCUGGUAUUCCGGAGAGCAUGCUUGUUUGAGCAUCAGUAAACACCUCAACUCCCUUUUCUUUUUUGAAAUUGGAGCUGGACUUGAGUGAUCCCAACGCUUUCUUCCAAGAAAGUGGCGGGUUGCUUGAAAUGCAGGUGCAGCUGAACUUUUCUCUGAGCUAUAAGCAUAUCUAUUUAGUCUGCCUAAAAAACAGAUUAUUACCUUUGCUGCAGCUAACAUAAAGGAGACUAGUUCUUGUGCUGACUGAUGCAGGAUUCACAGAGACAGCUUCGGCUGACUUUGUAAACUCGAUCUCAAAUCAAGUAAGACUACCCGCUGAACUUAAGCAUAUCAAUAAGCGGAGGA